AGGGAAUCUUCCGCAAUGGACGAAAGUCUGACGGAGCAACGCCGCGUGAGUGAUGAAGGUUUUCGGAUCGUAAAACUCUGUUGUCAGGGAAGAACAAGUACCGGAGUAACUGCCGGUACCUUGACGGUACCUGACCAGAAAGCCACGGCUAACUAAGUG
rnacentral:rRNA from 1 species